rnacentral:rRNA from 1 species
CGCGUAGGCGGCUUUUUAAGUCAGAUGUGAAAUUCCGGGGCUCAACCCCGGAGCUGCAUUUGAGACUGAGGAGCUAGUGGCUAGUUAGGGAAAACAGAAUUCCACGUGUAGCGGUGAAAUGCGUAGAUAUGUGGAAGAAUACCGGUGGUGAAGACGGUUUUCUGGACUAAGCCAGACGCUGAGGCGCGAAAGCUAGGGGGGCAAACAGGAUUAGAUACCCUGGUAGUCCUAGCUAUAAACGAUGCAUACUAGAUGUAGGGAGGCUCAACCCUUUCUGUAUCGGAGCUAACGCGUUAAGUAUGCCGCCUGGGGAGUACGCUCGCAAGGGUGAA